GAAUUUUGGACAAUGGGCGAAAGCCUGAUCCAGCAAUGCCGCGUGCAGGAUGCAGGCCUUCGGGUUGUAAACUGCUAUUGUACGGAACGAAAAGUCUCGGGAUAAUACCCUGGGACCAUGACGGUACCGUAAGACUACUCACCGGCUAACUACGUGCACGCAGCCGCGGUAAUAAGUAGGGUGCAAGCGUUAAUCGGACUUACUGGUCGUAAGGGGUGCGAAGGCGGUUAUAUAGGACAGAGGUGAAAUCCCCGGGCUCAACCUGGGAACUGCAUUGGUGACUGUAUAGCUAGAGUACGGUAGAGGGGGAUGGAAUUGCGCGUGUAGCAGUGAAAUGCGUAGAUAUGCGGAAGAACACCGAUGGAGAGGGCAAUCCCCUGGACCUGUACUGACGCUCAUGCACGAAAGCGUGGGGAGCAAACAG
rnacentral:rRNA from 1 species